ensembl:lncRNA
ACAGAGCCGAGCCCCGGGGCUGAACGCAGAGCGCUGCCGGGCCGGGCCCUUCCCGACGGGGCGAAUGGGGCCGCACCGCACUGCGGCGGGGAGAGGAGGAGCGGAGCCGGCCGGGGCAGUCGGGUUUUCGUCGGACACCCAACCUGGGUCGUGUCUGCGUCGCUCCGGACCGCGCCAGGCUUGGAAAUGUGCGGCUUGUGAUGCUUCAGUGUGUGCCCCUUGACACAUCACCAAGGCAUCUGAAGAGGCAAGAUCAGCAGAGUAUAUCAGCACAGCCGCUCAGAAGGCAUCAGGUUUGAUAUCGGCAAGAAUGUCAAACUGCACAGCCAGGGGUGAAGACAGUUCUCUUGCAUGAGCCCAGCCUGCUCCUGCCUGAAGUACACCCCACAGAGGCAGCUUUGGUGGUUGGGACUGGCAUGAAGAGCAUGAGAGAGGACAGUGUUCCUUCUCCUGCACUGCAAAUACUCCUUCUCACUUCUCUGUGGUGCAGCCUGUUCAGCAGAGACUUGGGCACAGCCCCCAGAAUCCUUGUGUUUGAGACAGUCUCUUUUGGGAAUGACAUAAGCAAAGUUACUCAUCUAACCUCUAGGAAGCAGCCGGUGUGGACUGUUCUGAGCAAAACAAUGCCACAAACCCAGCGAGCGCUGCUGAGCGUGAUUCACAGCCAAUGCUUUUACAACCUGCUUCUUGUUUUGGAACAGCAUCUAAUUGAUUUUAAAACACUGCAAAACUAGGUCAAUUUGCCAUUGGGCUUUGUAAGAGUCUUUAGCUAAAUCUCCAGACUUUAGCUAGAUGUUAAUUUGAGCCAGACUUAGGAAAAAUAUAUAGUAAUAUACCCACAGUCUCACGUGAGAAACUUGUAGGCAACGAUUUGGGAUUCAGAGCCAUCCUCUUAUUCCUAAGACUAAAUUCAAAGCCACUGUUUAAAAGCAAGCUUGCACACGCGGAUGUCCUGAUCUUUAAUUAGGCAAAACUCCCACUGACAUCAAUAGGAGGUUGACUUGAAUAAGAACUGCAGGAUCAGGUCCAUAAUUUGAUACCUGGGAUUUGAUUAAGCAGCUAAAUUACUAGAACACUUUCCCCAGGAGUAUAAUUGCCUAAUUAAUUUUGAAAAUAGCUAAGUUCAGCACUGACUAUGGUGUACCUCUUGCCACAUGAAAUGGAUGCUGUUUAAGCCAAGUUGAUGCAGCUAUUUGCAAGAGCCUGUAGAGUUUAUUUUACAGUUAAGUGGUACUGUUUAUUUAAAGUUCAAAAAUAGCCACCAUUGUGUUCAAAUAUGCUCUUGUAAUAGACUUCACUUGUAGUCUGGUUUGGCUGUUAGCAUUUCAAAUGUAUUUUAAAGAGUAGUGCUCUACUGCAUCCUAAUUCUUGAGUUCUGGCUACUGUGAUUCAUUUGACAGGUGGGAAAACACUGGAGGCUGGGGAAGAACUUCCUCUCUAACAGAAGAAGUUUUGAAAAGUUUGUUGUCUUAUCAAUGGUCUUAUUCCUUUCUGGUUUUGGGGUCCUAACACUCCUCUGGUAGAUUACAUGUAUUAGAAUUGGUGUAUAUUAUUUUCUUUUCCCUGAAAUUUCAGUCUAACACUGUGGGCUGUAGUUGACACAUUUGCUGCAGAAGGACUUGCUUUCACAAUCAAAAGACUUUUUGUUUUCUUUUGGGGUUUUUUGGUGGUGUUUUUCUUUGUUAUCAGAGAAUUUAUCUAAAAGGAAUAGAGA